AGCUGAGGAAAGCUACUUUUCAGGAGUUUCAGGAGCUAAUUAGGUAGAUACCUGAUUUUCUUGCUGUAUGGUGGCUCCAGGUAAUUUAUCAAGUUUGUAUGUGAUGUCAUAGAUGGAGUUGUUCAGUUACAUCAUAGAAUAUUGCUCACAUGAGGGAUCUGGAAGGAUCUUCGCAUGUGGUUGGAAUUUUGUCAGAUUUUAAUGGAAUCUUAUUCUAAUGUGAAGAGUCAAAGUUGUGGGAUGCUUUACAGGCCCAGAAUCCCCACUGUCAGCAUCAGGCUGCCUAACAGGCCCAGUGAGAUCAGGUACAGGCAUAAUCAAUGACUGAACUACAAGUUACAGUUGGGUGAAGAGAAUAAGAAAUCUGCUUGUGUGUACUUUAGGAUCUCCGUAUGAGCGCAUAUGAGGUCCAGCGUGUCAGGAGCUGAUUUCUGCUGUUCCUGAAGACAUCAUAAAUCUUCUCAGUGACAUCUUGAGGCCAGCAGGGGGCAUCGGGGAAGAAACUUCAAAGCCCAUGGAUGGAAAGUUGUGAACGGGCAAGGAAGGGGGGCAGGGAGAACAGUAGAAAACCAAAAGUUGUUGGGCAAAAUUGCCAUUAGCGUCUUUCUAUAGCUGUAGAGAUUUAAGCAAUUAAAACCAAUUCCAAAAGAA